AGGUGAUAUUAUAUACUUUUGCGCUGGCCGAAAACACCCUAAAAUUAUUUACAAUCGUAAUUCUUUCAAUUUCCAUUACAAAUGUCUUGGUACGACUCACUGGCGGUGCAGUUUCGUACGUAGAACCAAAUGCAGGACCAGAAUUAUGACCAUGGCAUCGUCCAUUGUAGUUUCUGAGGAGCACAACCACGAACCACCGGCUAAAUUGCCACCAUUUUUGAAAAAACAAAAUGUUGCUGUGAGGAGAAAAGCAGGAACUACAUUAUUCUAAUUGUAUAUUAUUGUUUUAGAUGAGGUAUACAUUUGUGCUGGCCGAAAACACCCUCAAAUAAUUUACAAUAACAACAUUUUCCAUUUCCAUUACAAAGGUCUUGGUAAGACUUACUGGGAGUGUAUUUCCGUACAUAGAACGACAUCGUCCAUUGUUUCUGAGGAGCACAACCACCAACCACCGGCUAAAUUGCCAGCAAUUUUGAAAAAACAAAAUGUUGUUGUGAUGACAAAAGGAGGAACUAAAUUAUUCUAAUUCCAUAUUAUUGGUGACUCUGUUUUAAUUAAUUCGUUUUUGAACAUUCUUUCAUUAAAUAAAAAAAAAUAAAUAAAUUUUAAAAUCCUAUUUUUAUGGAAUUAGACACAAAAGGGACAUCUUUGAAAUAACUUAUUUGAAAUUGGUAGAAAAUGAUGAAUUAUAAAAUAAAAUAUUUACCUGGAUUAAUGUUUUGUCUUUCUUAAUCUAUCUUAAUUUUUAAAUUUUACACGUUAAGCAUUUACAUAAUGUAUUAUUGUUUUGUUAGAGGCUUUUGUUACUAUGUGUUAUUGUUAUUAUUGUUUUCAAUUUUUGAAGAAUAUUUUUUACUUUUAUUAAUUAUCUCUUUUUCCAUAAUAAAUAACUAUUUUUUGUGCUGUACCGUUCAAUGAAGUAAAUUUUUAACUUUUUUUUAAUAGUUUUAGGAGAGGUAUACUUUUGUGCUGGCCGAAAACAUCCUCAAAUAAUUUACAAUAAUAAUAUUUUCAAUUUUCAUUACGAAUGUCAUGAUAAGACUUUCUACGCGUGCAAGUUCGUACGUACUACACGCAGAAGCAAAUGCAGGGCAAGACUUAUGACCAGGGGAUCGACUAUUGUUAUUUGUGAGGAGCACAACCACCUACCACCGGCUAGAUUGCCACCCGUUUUUAAUAAACAAGUUGUUGUUGUAAUUACAAAAUGGGGAAAUAAAAUAACCUAAUUG